GUACACAAAAAUGCACAUGCUGUGAGCUCGAUGAGUAGGGCGGGACACGUGGUAUCCUGUCUGAAUAUGGGGGGACCAUCCUCCAAGGCUAAAUACUCCUGACUGACCGAUAGUGAACCAGUACCGUGAGGGAAAGGCGAAAAGAACCCCGGCGAGGGGAGUGAAAAAGAACCUGAAACCGUGUACGUACAAGCAGUGGGAGCACGCUUAGGCGUGUGACUGCGUACCUUUUGUAUAAUGGGUCAGCGACUUAUAUUCUGUAGCAAGGUUAACCGAAUAGGGGAGCCGAAGGGAAACCGAGUCUUAACUGGGCGUUAAGUUGCAGGGUAUAGACCCGAAACCCGGUGAUCUAGCCAUGGGCAGGUUGAAGGUUGGGUAACACUAACUGGAGGACCGAACCGACUAAUGUUGAAAAAUUAGCGGAUGACUUGUGGCUGGGGGUGAAAGGCCAAUCAAACCGGGAGAUAGCUGGUUCUCCCCGAAAGCUAUUUAGGUAGCGCCUCGUGAAUUCAUCUCCGGGGGUAGAGCACUGUUUCGGCAAGGGGGUCAUCCCGACUUACCAACCCGAUGCAAACUGCGAAUACCGGAGAAUGUUAUCACGGGAGACACACGGCGGGUGCUAACGUCCGUCGUGAAGAGGGAAACAACCCAGACCGCCAGCUAAGGUCCCAAAGUCAUGGUUAAGUGGGAAACGAUGUGGGAAGGCCCAGACAGCCAGGAUGUUGGCUUAGAAGCAGCCAUCAUUUAAAGAAAGCGUAAUAGCUCACUGGUCGAGUCGGCCUGCGCGGAAGAUGUAACGGGGCUAAACCAUGCACCGAAGCUGCGGCAGCGACGCUGAUGCGUUGUUGGGUA
rnacentral:rRNA from 1 species